rnacentral:rRNA from 1 species
CAGCCGCCACGGUAAUACGGGGGGGGCAAGCGUUAUUCGUCAUGACUGGGCGUAAAGGGCAUGUAGGUGGCCUUUCCCGUUACCAGGGGGGGAUCCCGACUUCAUCGGAGUAUUCCCUUGGCAUAGGGUAGGGCUUGAGUAAGCAAGGGGAGAAUGGAAUUUCUGGAGUAGAGGUAAAAUUCACAGAUACCAGAAGGAAGACCGAAAGCGCAGGCAAUUCUCUGGUGCUUUACUGACGCUCAGGUGCGAAAGCGUGGGGAGCGAAGGGGAUUAGAUACCCGUGUAGUCCCUGUCUCUUAUA